rnacentral:rRNA from 1 species
UACGGGGGGGGCAAGCGUUGUUCGGAAUUACUGGGCGUAAAGGGCUUGUAGGUGGCCAACUAAGUCAGACGUGAAAUCCCUCGGCUUAACCGGGGAACUGCGUCUGAUACUGGAUGGCUUGAGUGUGGGAGAGGGAUGCGGAAUUCCAGGUGUAGCGGUGAAAUGCGUAGAUAUCUGGAGGAACACCGGUGGCGAAGGCGGCCUGCUGGGCAGUUGCUGACACUGAGGCGCGACAGCGUGGGGAGCAAACAGG